rnacentral:rRNA from 1 species
GGUGAACGCUGGCGGCGUGCUUAAGACAUGCAAGUCGAACGCAGUCUUCGGACUGAGUGGCGCACGGGUGAGUAACACGUAACUGACCUACCCCCAAGUCGCGGAUAACUGGCCGAAAGGUCAGCUAAUACGUGAUGUGAUGUCCCCUUUCUGGGGGGCCAUUAAAGGUUUACUGGUUGGGGAUGGGGUUGCGUUCCAUCAGCUAGUUGGCGGGGUAAAGGCCCACCAAGGCAACGACGGAUAGCCGGCCUGAGAGGGUGGACGGCCACAGGGGCACUGAGACACGGGUCCCACUCCUACGGGAGGCAGCAGUUAGGAAUCUUCCACAAUGGGCGAAAGCCUGAUGGAGCGACGCCGCGUGAGGGAUGAAGGUUCUCGGAUCGUAAACCUCUGAAUCAGGGACGAAAGACGCGUAAGCGGGAUGACGGUACCUGAGUAAUAGCACCGGCUAACUCCGUGCCAGCAGCCGCAGUAA